CCCUUAGAUGUCCUGGGCCGCACGCGUGCUACACUGACACUUACACCGAGUUUUUCCAAUGCCGAAAGGCCAUUGGUAAUCAGCAAUAAGUGUCGUGAUGGGGAUAGAUCUUUGGAAUUAUUGAUCUUGAACGAGGAAUGCCUAGUAAUCGUAGGUCAUCAGCCUGCGAUGAUUACGUCCCUGCCCUUUGUACACACCGCCCGUCGCACCUACCGAUUGAAUGGUCCGGUGAAAUCUCCGGACUGGCGUGAGUCGGAGCAAUCUGACAAACGCCGGAAAGUUGAUUAAACCUUACCAUUUAGAGGAAGGUGAAGUCGUAACA
rnacentral:rRNA from 1 species